CCUGGGGCGGAGGGGUGCUCCAGGCUUCAAUUUUGCUUCUGGGAAGUAGGAGACGUAGGUCAUCAUACUAAGCUCAUCAACCUUGGGGUUCACCAUGUCAGCUGGAUCUAAGACCUUCGAGAAUACAAGAAAAUAGCACCACUUUCUUUCCUGAUCACUAUAUACCUGUGGAAUAUCCAGCCAGUCUUGUGCAAGCUUCAUUGCUUGUUGUGCAUUCUGCAGUGCAUCCUUAGGAUCAAGGUCCUCACACUCAGGCAGUAAGCCAGGUGCAACAGCGUCAACCAGACAGGCAAUGGCGCGACCAUCGUUCCAGUGGGUGGUAAAGUUGUCCAUUGGAACACUCUCUGGCAUCUUGCUCUUGACCCACGCCAGCAGUGCCUGCUUGGGCGUCAUCUUAUGGUUUUCGUCAUCGUCAUCAUCCAGGUAGGGCAUGCUGAUCUGGUACUUCAGGAUAAGUGUCCAUAUCAGACCAAGAAUAAGCUUCAGGUUCCCCUUCACAAUAUCACUAGCAUCUGUAAAACAAUGUCAAACACUAUGAUCUUGCAUCUAUUAAACGUAAUCAGCGAUGUUUAGACCAUGAUAUAAGACUAGUAACUGUAAGCCAAUUGCAAACAUCUAUAUUAAUAUCACUCCCAUCUGAAAAACAGUGGGAAAUGUUUGAAUCAUGAUUUACUGUAACACCAGCAUCUGUAAGCCAAUGGCUAAUGCCCAUCAUAUAAAACUCUCUUGCAAACAUGAUUUUUUUAUUAUCAUAAAUAAUUAAAAGAAUAAAAAAAUGAUCUAAAAAUUAUCAAAGCAUAAAAAAAUAGGAGUAAUUGUAUAGGGGAUUUGAUAUCUAAACAAAUAAGAGUUGUUUUUAAGUCGUGGAUAGCAAAGCUAUUCAGGACUUUUUGCGGUAGCGGGGUUGUGUCACUCCCUAAUCGCUAAUAGCUUACUAAUCGUCGACUCAAGUGUAACCCAUAGCCAAUUAUGACUCUUCUAAUAUCACAAAACUUGGCCAAUCAAAUCAAACGUUUUAGCGAAAAAGCCUGCGAAUUGUCAGCGGUUUUCCAAACCAUGUAAGAAAAAACAUGGCGGCAAUAGUUGAAUUCUUUGAAGGUUAAGACUAUGAUUUAACAUCAUUCCUGCCUUUCUUGCUAAUUAAAAAUCGAGCCACGUUCGAUAAAUAGCUAUCUGAAUACAAGGUUUCGCUUCAAAGUCCGUUCGUUAUCAGUUCAACUUUCACGAUAUAUCAUGUUGUCAACAGACUUACGAAACGCCACUGGUAAGCCAUUUCCACUUCCCCUCUACUACUGCUGGCUGUGCACCAAAUUCUUUGUUUAUUUCUUGCAUGCAUGCUUGCUGAAUUAGCUCCAACAUAUUCUUGCUCUUAUAAUUUAAGCUUCGGAAUUUAUCCGUACUUCGCUACGAAUAGCGUUGUUUCCAAUGUCUCCAUGAAUAACAUUUCUAGACUGAACUUCGUUUGCCAAGAGCAGGAAUCAGUUUUUUAAAUGUCUGUAAGCAAAAUCACCCAAUGAGGGCUGGAGGGCCCCUUUCCAUCAAUGGUAUCUGGGUCGACUGGUUGUCCCCAGGGAAUCAAUCAGAUGGGCAUUGACAACUUCAGGCCCGUAGCCAGGAUUUUGAGCAGGGUGGUUUGUUUUUUCCAUGUUAGCGGACCAAAUUCCCGGUAUACCCCUCUCCUCGCCUUAUUACAUUAGGCAUGUUAUUAAUAGGGUACUUUUUAACAUAUAGCGAUAAUAAUAAAGAUAAUUAAGAUUUUUAUAGUCAUUUUAAAGACAUAUUGAUGUGCACGGUAUAUCUUCAGCCAAACAUUAUAUAUUUUUGUUUGCUCUGAGCGGACCUUCAAGCUGGGUGGAGGGGUUCGUCUGAACCCCCCGAACCCCCCUUGCUACGGGCCUGUACCUGAAGCAGUUAUUUUAACAUCACAGUAGUACCAUUGUUUACACUUGUCUGAGACAAAAUACCCUAUGUAUAAAUAAAACCACAUAAAGCCAA